AUUGAACGCUGGCGGCAGGCCUAACACAUGCAAGUCGAACGGAAGAGGGCAGCUUGCUCCUGGAGUCAGCGGAGCGCGGGUGAGUAAUGCCUGGGAAUCUGCCUGCGAGUGGGGUAUCACGUCCGGAGACGGGCGCUAAUACCACAUACUUCCUGAGGGAGAAAGUGGGGGCUCUUCGGACCUCACGCUCGCAGCUGAGCCUAGGUCGGAUUAGCUAGUUUGUGGGGUAAAGGCCUACCAAGGCGACGAUGCGUAACUGGUCUGAGAGGAUGAUCAGUCACACUGGAACUGAGACACGGUCCAGACUCCUACGGGAGGCAGCAGUGGGGAAUAUUGGACAAUGGGCGCAAGCCUGAUCCAGCCAUGCCGCGUGUGGGAAGAAGGUCUUCGGAUUGUAAAGUGCUUUAGGUUGGGAGGAAGGGCAGUAAGUUAAUACCGUGCUGUUUUGACGUUACCGACAGAAUAAGCACCGGCUAACUACGUG
rnacentral:rRNA from 1 species